rnacentral:rRNA from 2 species
UGGUGGGUAGUUUGACUGGGGCGGUCUCCUCCCAAAGAGUAACGGAGGAGCACGAAGGUUAGCUAAUCCUGGUCGGACAUCAGGAGGUUAGUGCAAUGGCAUAAGCUAGCUUGACUGCGAGAGUGACGGCUCGAGCAGGUGCGAAAGCAGGUCAUAGUGAUCCGGUGGUUCUGAAUGGAAGGGCCAUCGCUCAACGGAUAAAAGGUACUCCGGGGAUAACAGGCUGAUACCGCCCAAGAGUUCAUAUCGACGGCGGUGUUUGGCACCUCGAUGUCGGCUCAUCACAUCCUGGGGCUGAAGUAGGUCCCAAGGGUAUGGCUGUUCGCCAUUUAAAGUGGUACGCGAGCUGGGUUUAGAACGUCGUGAGACAGUUCGGUCCCUAUCUGCCGUGGGCGCUGGAGAAUUGAGGGGGGCUGCUCCUAGUACGAGAGGACCGGAGUGGACGCAUCACUGGUGUUCGGGUUGUCAUGCCAAUGGCACUGCCCGGUAGCUAAAUGCGGAAAAGAUAAGUGCUGAAAGCA